rnacentral:rRNA from 1 species
GCCGGGCGAGAAAGGUGAAGAAGCAAAGUGCAUUUGCCGGGCCCACCCAUGCUGGG